rnacentral:rRNA from 1 species
GAUGAACGCUGGCGGCGUGCCUAAUACAUGCAAGUCGAGCGAACAGACGAGGAGCUUGCUCCUCUGAUGUUAGCGGCGGACGGGUGAGUAACACGUGGAUAACCUACCUAUAAGACUGGGAUAACAUCGGGAAACCGGAGCUAAUACCGGAUAAUAUUUUGAACCGCAUGGUUCAAUAGUGAAAGACGGUCUUGCUGUCACUUAUAGAUGGAUCCGCGCCGCAUUAGCUAGUUGGUAAGGUAACGGCUUACCAAGGCGACGAUGCGUAGCCGACCUGAGAGGGUGAUCGGCCACACUGGAACUGAGACACGGUCCAGACUCCUACGGGAGGCAGCAGUAGGGAAUCUUCCGCAAUGGGCGAAAGCCUGACGGAGCAACGCCGCGUGAGUGAUGAAGGUCUUCGGAUCGUAAAACUCUGUUAUUAGGGAAGAACAAAUGUGUAAGUAACUAUGCACGUCUUGACGGUACCUAAUCAGAAAGCCACGGCUAACUACGUG